ensembl:lncRNA
AACAGAAGCCAUUCAUCUUAUUAAAAGUCUGUGCACCAGCACUAAGUAAUUGUACACUAAAAGUGUUUUUAUGGUUUAUUCAUAUUGAAUAUUGUUAUGCAUCUAUUAGAAUAGCCUCUAAUUACAGCCAUUUCUCUUAUGAAGCUAUGACUGAUUGACAUGUUUUUUUAAAUGUGUUGUACUAAAUGUUUAUACUUAUGUUUUAGACAAUGGAUUUUUUCGUGAAGGAAAAAUUGCGACAAUGAAAUCUCUGCCAGUUAAUUGAAACAUUUCAAGAGGAAGGAGUGGAUGAACAAAGCUUUAUGUUACUGGAUGACACACCAGCAUUGCUGCACUAAUCCCAAGAAUUGGUCUCAGGGUUAAAUUCAAGAAGUUUCAUUCAGAGUUUUUGGGAUACCUUCCACAACAGAUAAUUCGCACAACCAACAUAUUCCAGCACAGU